GGGAGAUAGUGAGCCGGGACGCCUUGCCCUGGGCGGAGGUGGCUCACGUGUGUGUUGAUCAGGUGACAAACUCUCCGUUUCCUGUCGCGGGACUAAUGUGUGGUUUGUGCGACGCGUAAUGUGUCUCCUCCCCGCCAUUACCCGUUGCGUUGUGUCCACAGGGGAGGAGGGACGCCUGGGGGCACACACACACACACACACACACACACACACCAAUCACCCUCCUGGGCAACCGCUGUGGUGACGGGCGCGGGCAGGUGCUGCUUGAGGGUCACAUGGGUACUGUCGCAAGGCCGUCCUGGUGCCACGCUUUGAGGGCAGGACGCGAUGGGCAGACCUUGAUGAAGCGCUUAUGUGGCCCUCCAGCCAGCGCUUCCACCUCAUCACCACCACCACAGGGCCACCACCACCACCACCGCCGUUUGAACACGACACGUGAAGCAGCCGCGUGGUGCAGCCAAGUCCAGGGCGCGAGCACGGGCCGGAACACAUCCAAUAGACUGGGCGAGAAUCAUUGGGAGUGGGCCGUGAGAUCCUCCACCUGAAACAACUGACGAUCAAGCGGGCGCAGUGUGUGAUCCGAUCCCUUGCACACGAACCCAAAUGGCACCCAGGAAUGGACUCUUAAUGCCCCGCCUCCCCCUCGCCAACACAGUCGCUCUUUGUGCACGGAAUUCGCACAGAAAUAAAGAGAUACAAGCGAGGACGAGAUAAGCGUCCAUCCCUAAGUUUUAAGUGAGUUAGUGCCGCCCGGGAAAGAAGAAAGGAGUGUGCGGAACAGAAGAAUAAAAGAAUUAGAAAAAUGAGUCAUUGCAAAAGAAAAACGCUCCAGGAUGAGGGAAAACAAUUAAAUCUUGUCCAUUGUUGAAGUCUUGCUUGUUUCCUCAGGUCAAAGAUGAAACACGUCGCAAAACAUUCCGGGAAAAUCUAAUUCUUAGGAGUUUUUUUCUUCUUCCUCUUAUCCCGAGGAGUGAGUGGGCAAGGAAGAAGGCGAGGGGGGUAUGAGGAGGAAGAAGUGAAAGGAGAGAGGAGGGACAGAAGAAGACGGGAAAGGAGAGGGAAGUGAGUGAAAGGAAAGGAGGGAGUAGAAUGGAGGCAAAAAUGGGAAUGGAGGGACAAGAGAGAGAGAGAGAGAGAGAGAGAGAGAGAGAGAGAGAGAGAGAGAGAGAGAGAGAGAGAGAGAGAGGGAGAGGAAUAGCAGGGAGGGGAGGUGGAGGCUACGAGGAGACAAUGGGCCGGCACAAAGGGGAAUAAUUUGUGUCCUGCUCAUAAUAAAGUUACAAGAAUGGUACGGGGAAACUUGUCUAAUUUCUGCAUUUUAAAAAGUUUGCCAGACAAGCUUCCUGUUUUUUUCCAAGCCAUUUGAGGUGAAAAAUGGAGCAGAUUGGUAUUUGUGUUUCCAAUGAGCGCCCUGGGACACUUUUCCACUUUCGGAUAUUUUCUUUUUCUUUCGGAGAUGAAGAAAAGAAGAAGAAACACUACCACCACCACCACCACCACUACCACCAGCUCUCCUUUCCGUCUCCCUCCCGCCCUCUUUCGUUGUCCCCCACCUUGUUAUCAUCGUUAACCCAAAUUGUUCUCGCCGCGUCGUUGUGAGAUCUCGACUCGGUACACAACAAGAACACAAAACAGGUGAGGAGACGGCGGCCUCGGCAGUGGAAGGGGCCGGGGAGGGAGUAAGGAUGGCCCCAGGCGACUGUGUGAUUUUUCAAGGAGGAAAGAAAGGAGGAGGAGGACAGGAGGAGUGUGGGUGGAGUUGAGGAGCAUUGGGCAGUGGAGGAGGGGGUGUGAGGAGACGGAGUAUGGUGGAGUGAACAGUUGGAGGAGGAGGAGGAGGAGGAGGAGGAGGUACUGAAAAGGUACAGCUAUGGAGUUACUUUUCAU